UAGGAUUUCUUCUGAGACAAUGCAAUCACUGCCCCACAUGAAGUCCUGGAAACCACUGCCACACAUGCUGCCAGACUGCUGACAUUCCCCGUGGCAAGAAGAAAUUGAAAAAAUUCAGAAGGGUGAAACAACAAAGAAGGACGAGGAAGAGAACUACCUGGAUUUGUUUUCCCACAAGAAUAUGAAACUGAAAGAACGAGUUCUGAUACCUGUCAAACAGUACCCCAAGUUCAACUUUGUUGGAAAGAUUUUGGGACCUCAAGGCAACACUAUCAAGAGACUUCAGGAAGAAACUGGUGCUAAGAUAUCUGUGCUUGGGAAGGGUUCAAUGCGAGAUAAAGCAAAGGAGGAAGAACUACGUAAAGGUGGGGAUCCUAAAUAUGCUCAUCUAAAUAUGGAUUUGCAUGUCUUCAUUGAAGUUUUUGGACCCCCUUGUGAAGCUUAUGCUCUAAUGGCUCAUGCCAUGGAAGAAGUCAAGAAGUUCCUUGUUCCAGAUAUGAUGGACGAUAUCUGUCAGGAGCAAUUCUUGGAGCUCUCCUACCUGAACGGUGUGCCAGAGCCAACUCGUGGUCGAGGAGUCCCUGUGCGGGGAAGGGGAGCAGCUCCACCACCACCUCCACCUGUUCCAAGGGGGCGUGGUGUUGGUCCUCCUCCUCCUCCUCCUCCUCCUCCUCCUCGGGGGGCCCUUGUGCGAGGAGCCCCAGUGCGGGGUGCCAUUGCUAGAGGAGCUGCUGUAGCCCGUGGAGUACCUCCUCCCCCAGCAGUAAGGGGUGCUCCUGCACCAAGAGCGCGUGCAGCUGGCAUUCAGAGAAUACCGCUUCCUCCUCCUCCUGCACCAGAAACCUAUGAGGAAUAUGGCUAUGAUGACGCAUAUGCAGACCAGAGCUACGAGGGGUAUGAAGGCUACUACAGCCAGGGCCAAGGGGACACAGAAUACUAUGAUUAUGGACACGGGGAGGCACAGGAAACCUAUGAAGCUUAUGGCCAAGAUGACUGGAAUGGAACAAGGCCCUCCCUGAAGGCCCCGCCAGCUAGGCCAGUGAAGGGGGCCUACAGAGAGCACCCAUACGGACGUUAUUAAACACAAACAUGAGGGAAAAAUAUCAGUUAUGAGCAAACAGUUGUUACUGAUUCUUGUAUCUCCCAGGAUUCCUGUUGCUUUACCCACACCAGACAAGAGUCAAGAGUACAUCACUAUGAAUCACUUGGGUGAAGAUGAGCAGGGGCAACACGAAGUGGGCACAACUUUUAUAUCAAGUGGAAAAGAUUUGAUAGAGAUCAUCUAUUAUGAUGCAGUUUUUUUACCAGUAGAAGUGGAUCUUGUGACACUACCUUUGGAGUAAUACAGCCUUCUUGUGCAUUGCAUUUGUUUCUUGUUAUGUGAAAGAUUUUAAUGUUACGGAGGAAUGUAAAUCUUAAUAUAUUGAAAAUAACUGUGUAUGCUAAAAAUAUUUUGAAAACGUGUCCUGCAUCAAACAUUUUCCUCCCUCUCAUAGCAUUACUACACUCAGAUUUCAAGCUACGGUAUGCUAAAGCAAAUUUGAGAUCCUGAAAUAGCCAUCAACAUCGGAUGGGUCUCUCAAAGAUGCUCUAAUUCGCCAGACGUUCCGGGGGUGAUACAGGACUCACUAAAAUUUGUGAGGGAUAGGGAUUCCUUCAAGGACAGAAGUCUGAGUCACCUAAAUAGCUUCCCCUUUCAUACUGACACCUAGCCACUGGAUGUCAUGUUCUGCUGGCUGUUAGCAAACAAACGCCACAGUGAUUUUUAAUCUCCAGAUUCCCCAGGGAACAAAUCCUCAACUUAUCAUUAUUUUUAGGAUUUUGGUAAAGGUUGCAAACAAGAUAGAGGCCCUGUUAUUCUUGGUAUUGUACAGCCUGAUAAUGGCAGUCAUGUUUCCUCCUUGUCUGCGGAAGUGUUUCCCAGCGAUACUCUUUUUAAGAGAAACUUGUCUCUAGAAACGUUCUACGUUUCUCUCCUGCUGCAGUGCUUUCCCUGCCUCAGCAGUCAUCUUCUCUAACCCUUGUUUCUGGAUGGUCGCUGCUUCUUCAGAACUUAGUCCAGCCCUUUGGUAUAAACGCUCAGGCUGGCCUAGCCUGGAGCUGGUACAAACUUGGACCUCACGCUUUCUUUGUGAGGUCUCACCACAUGUAGUGGUUCCCGGCCAGCAUCUUGGACAGCAACAGAAGCAUGAAACUGAGCUUGCAGGGAAAACGCUCCAGCUGGUCUUGCAAAGAGGUCCCCUGUAGCUUUUCCUGGAAGGAGAUUGUCGUACUGUGCCCAUUCCUUACCCUUGGUUUCAAGUUGCUGUUCAGAUUAUCGAAUAAAGCAAAUAGUUAAAAGCUUUAUUUUAUAACUUACCUAUGAUCUUUUUAUUUCUAACUUAAUUCCUUAGCCCUACUGAAAGCAGUGUUUUUACCUUGAUCUGGCCCUCUGUAAACUUCCUUAUUUGGUAAGUUGGGUCCAGCUUAAGAGCACAGCUGGAUUCCCUAUUUGGCUGUAAAAGCGGAUGAUUCUUUUUGUACAGACUGAGUUUUUAAAUUUGUAUGAGAGCAUCUGUCAUGAGCAGAGCCAAGAAAAGCAAUUUAAACGUGCAUGUCUUCCUUUCCUCACCCCAUGCUGCUGCUCUCCUAAAGAACCCUCAGACAGAGGGCAGUUCCUGCAGCCUGUGGUAGAGCCCCCAAACGGCCUCAGAGGAGAAGGGACCAGCUGUGACCUGUCUGCUGGGAGAUGCAGGGAAGAACAGGAGGUGCUGCUAACGCAACUGUUCUCUAGGCUGGGAGGAACAAGUACCUAGGAGUGCUUUUUAGGAGUAAGACAUGGCUUAGGGAAAUUCUUUAACUGAUAAACGUAUAACAUCUUGGGUGAGAUGCUGGACACAUGGCCUGCUUGUAAGCUUUGAGGGGGAGGAAUUUCUGCAGGCCAGUCAUCCCCCAUGGGAACUUCCAUCCCAAACGUAGAUGUUGUUCCUCUUUUCUGCUCAGGAAGCUCGGUUCCUGUGAGCAGAAACAUUUACUGUUGCUGCUCAGCUGAGCCUUCCCUUACUACCAUAUGUUUCAACUGAAAUGUUUGUUUCCAUUCUCUUUUUGCUCCUCUUUGCAAAGUGGGAUGAGUCUCAAAUUAGUUGAUCUCAGAUAUGAGAAAGUAACACAGUUAAGAUGCCUUUCACUUUAUUGUGGAUGGGAAAUAGGAAAUUGCCAGCUUUCCCAUGUUCUCCAGUACACUCAUGAGUCUCCCUCAUCUGCUUCAAAAGCUGGAGAGCAAAGAGUGUGCUUGAGUACUGAAAUAGAAAGUAUGUUUCCCGGUAAAGCUGUUACUUUUACUGCUGGCUGUAGAGCCAAAUACAAUCAAAGGCUUGUGUGUGUUACAAGACAAACCUCAUUUUUUAAUGGGACAUCAGUAGGUUCCACUUGUUAUCUUUAUAGUUGCAGUUGGAAAAUUGAGUUAAAACUACAGGCAUCUGGAUACUGUUGGUUUUGAUGGUUCUACACAAGGAAGGUUUCAAAACCAAUAAGAAAUGAAAGAUUGGUCUUGUGAAAGUUCAUUAAUUUUAGAAAUGGCUUUGCCUCUAGCCUAGGCAGGGGUGGUUCUCGAGAUUACAUAAUCUUCCAUCUGUACUAAAGUGUCAAACACCCACAAGUUGAGGAAUUCAAUGGAAAAUACUGCAAGUCCUUGGUAAAGAUGGUGAAAAUUGAUCAAGGUGAAUCACAGUAUUAAAAUAACUUGUAUAGGAAACUGGCAAGCUAUUGCAUGGCUGGUAUUUAGCAAUAAGUGUUCAACAGAUGUUUUAAAUGGUUAGUCAUUCCUUAUAAUAAUAAAGGCCUAACAUUGAA